rnacentral:rRNA from 1 species
GCUGGCGACCGGCGCACGGGUGAGUAACACGUAUCCAACCUGCCGAUGACUCGGGGAUAGCCUUUCGAAAGAAAGAUUAAUACCCGAUGGCAUAGUUCUUCCGCAUGGUGGAACUAUUAAAGAAUUUCGGUCAUCGAUGGGGAUGCGUUCCAUUAGGUUGUUGGUGGGGUAACGGCCCACCAAGCCUUCGAUGGAUAGGGGUUCUGAGAGGAAGGUCCCCCACAUUGGAACUGAGACACGGUCCAGACUCCUACGGGAGGCAGCAUG